rnacentral:misc_RNA from 1 species
AGAGAUUGCAAUGAGUGGGUUCACGGAGGUACUUACGUGGAUCCUAUGUUCUUAUAAAGAGAACUUCGCCAUGCUAAAGCGUGAAGAUGAUAAAUCUACCGCUGUUGUCAUUGGAAAUCCUCGUUCAACUGAUUUUGAGGUUGUACGAACCAGUCUUAUGCCUGGUCUUUUGAAAAUUGUUGGACACAAUAAGGAUCACCCAAAGCCCAUAAAGAUAUUUGAAGUUGGUGAUGUAUCAUUGCUG